rnacentral:rRNA from 1 species
GGGUUGUGAGGUUAAGCGACUAAGCGUACACGGUGGAUGCCCUGGCAGUCAGAGGCGAUGAAGGGCGUGCUAAUCUGCGAUAAGCGCCGGUAAGGUGAUAUGAACCGUUAUAACCGGCGAUACCCGAAUGGGGAAACCCAGUGUGAUUCGUCACACUAUCAUUAACUGAAUCCAUAGGUUAAUGAGGCGAACCGGGGGAACUGAAACAUCUAAGUACCCCGAGGAAAAGAAAUCAACCGAGAUUCCCCCAGUAGCGGCGAGCGAACGGGGAGGAGCCCAGAGCCUGAAUCAGCAUGUGUGUUAGUGGAAGCGUCUGGAAAGGCGCGCGAUACAGGGUGACAGCCCCGUACACAAAAGCGCAUGUGCUGUGAGCUCGAUGAGUAGGGCGGGACACGUGGUAUCCUGUCUGAAUAUGGGGGGACCAUCCUCCAAGGCUAAAUACUCCUGACUGACCGAUAGUGAACCAGUACCGUGAGGGAAAGGCGAAAAGAACCCCGGCGAGGGGAGUGAAAAAGAACCUGAAACCGUGUACGUACAAGCAGUGGGAGCCCCACCACUAAGCCAGUGGUGAACUCCACAUACGCAUCCUUUGCUGAAGGCAAUGGUUAACGGAGCGAAAGCGACGUUCAACCGCAAAACAAGCAGAGGGGGCUUAGUGGUGGGGUGACUGCGUACCUUUUGUAUAAUGGGUCAGCGACUUAUAUUCUGUAGCAAGGUUAACCGAAU